rnacentral:rRNA from 1 species
AUUGAACGCUGGCGGCAGGCCUAACACAUGCAAGUCGAACGAGUGGCGGACGGGUGAGUAAUGUCUGGGAAACUGCCCGAUGGAGGGGGAUAACUACUGGAAACGGUAGCUUAUACCGCAUACCAUCGGAUGUGCCCAGAUGGGAUUAGCUAGUAGGUGGGGUAACGGCUCACCUAGGCGACGAUCCCUAGCUGGUCUGAGAGGAUGACCAGCAACGCUGGAACUGAGACACGGUCCAGACACUCACGGGAGGCAUCAGUGGGGAAUAUUGCACAAUGGGCGCAAGCCUGAUGCAGUUAUGCCGCGUAUAUUAAGACGGCCUUCGGGUUGUAAAGUACUUUCAGCGAGGAGGCGUUACUCGCAGAAGAAGCACCGGCUAACUCCGUGCCAGCAGCCGCGGUAAUUC